rnacentral:rRNA from 1 species
GCAGUCGAGCGAAUCGAUGGGAGCUUGCUCCCUGAGAUUAGCGGCGGACGGGUGAGUAACACGUGGGCAACCUGCCUAUAAGACUGGGAUAACUUCGGGAAACCGGAGCUAAUACCGGAUACGUUCUUUUCUCGCAUGAGAGAAGAUGGAAAGACGGUUUACGCUGUCACUUAUAGAUGGGCCCGCGGCGCAUUAGCUAGUUGGUGAGGUAAUGGCUCACCAAGGCGACGAUGCGUAGCCGACCUGAGAGGGUGAUCGGCCACACUGGGACUGAGACACGGCCCAGACUCCUACGGGAGGCAGCAGUAGGGAAUCUUCCGCAAUGGACGAAAGUCUGACGGAGCAACGCCGCGUGAACGAAGAAGGCCUUCGGGUCGUAAAGUUCUGUUGUUAGGGAAGAACAAGUACCAGAGUAACUGCUGGUACCUUGACGGUACCUAACCAGAAAGCCACGGCUAACUACGUGCCAGCAGCCGCGGUAAUACGUAGGUGGCAAGCGUUGUCCGGAAUUAUUGGGCGUAAAGCGCGCGCAGGUGGUUCCUUAAGUCUGAUGUGAAAGCCCACGGCUCAACCGUGGAGGGUCAUUGGAAACUGGGGAACUUGAGUGCAGAAGAGGAAAGUGGAAUUCCAAGU